AACCAUUCUCACCUGCGGCUAGACCUGCGGAGGGAUCAUUGAUAAUUUAAACAAAUUUAGCCUGGGGAUUAAGCUAGAUCUCAUGUGAAGCUGAGAUCUAAAGAACAAAAAUCUUAGAUAGUAAGCUGAAUGCAGGGAUCUAGUCCCAGGUUUAAAUAUCAACCAACUUGUGAACCGUAUUUUAAUGCAGCCUUUCCGGUGAAGAAGUUUCCCCUUUAGCUGACUCCGAGGAAGUUUUCU
rnacentral:misc_RNA from 1 species